rnacentral:rRNA from 1 species
UACGUAGGGUGCGAGCGUUAAUCGGAAUUACUGGGCGUAAAGCGUGCGCAGGCGGUUUUGUAAGCCAGAUGUGAAAUCCCCGGGCUUAACCUGGGAAUGGCAUUUGGGACUGCAAGGCUGGAGUACGGCAGAGGAGACUGGAAUUCCUGGUGUAGCAGUGAAAUGCGUAGAGAUCAGGAGGAAUACCGAUGGCGAAGGCAGGUCUCUGGGCUGAUACUGACGCUGAGGAGCGAAAGCGUGGGGAGCGAACAGG